rnacentral:rRNA from 1 species
UACGGAGGGUGCGAGCGUUGUUCGGAAUCACUGGGCGUAAAGGGCGUGUAGGCGGUCCGCUAAGUCUGAUGUGAAAGCCCGGGGCUCACCCCCGGAAGGGCAUUGGAAACUGGCGGACUCGAGUCCCGGAGAGGAAGGUGGAAUUCCUGGUGUAGCGGUGAAAUGCGUAGAUAUCAGGAGGAGUACCGGUGGCGAAGGCGGCCUUCUGGACGGUGACUGACGCUGAGACGCGAAAGCGUGGGGAGCAAACAGG